CAAAAUUUUCUGGGUCACCAACAGAAAAAGCUAUUCUUGUUUGGGGAGUCAAGCUGUUAGUGAUUAUAAACAGUCUCUUCGGUUCCAAAAUUUGAAUGAGGAGAAGAGAAACAUACAUAUGGAGGUUAUCAGAGGUGGAAAAAGAAUUGAUGUUUCCAUAUAUGAUCUUAUUGUUGGAGAUGUUGUGCCACUCAACAUUGGUGACCAGGUACCUGUUGACAGACUUCUAAUCACUGGUCACUCACUUGCUAUUGAUGAAUCAAGCAUGACCGGAGAAAGAAAUGUUGUAGGCCUCGCGACUCAUCCUUAAAUUUGGCCAAUUGCUUAAUGUUGCCUCUGUUAUUUAAGUAUGAUUAUUGAUUCUGCAUGUAUACAAGAAUUCAAGGGAGCCAUUUCUAAUGUCUGGCUGUAAAGUAGCAGAUGGCAGUGGCACUAUGCUGGUAUGUUUUUAUCUCUUUCUCUUUCCAACCAUAGCAUUUUAUCCUUCUGAAAAAGCAGUUUUCCGUAG